AGUGGAGCCUGCGGCUUAAUUUGACUCAACACGGGAAAACUUACCCGGCCCGGANNCNGGAAGGAUUGACAGAUUAAGAGCUCUUUCUUGAUUCGGUGGGUGGUGGUGCAUGGCCGUUCUUAGUUGGUGGAGCGAUUUGUCUGGUUAAUUCCGAUAACGAACGAGACUCUAGCCUACUUAAUAGAGAACCGAUUUCCUCUCGUCGGUUACUCUUCUUAGAGGGACAAGCGGCGUUUAGCCGCACGAGACAGAGCAAUAACAGGUCUGUGAUGCCCUUAGAUGUCCGGGGCCGCACGCGCGCUACACUGAAGGAAUCAGCGUGUGUUCACCCUGGCCGAAAGGUCUGGGUAACCCGUUGAACCUCCUUCGUGAUAGGGAUAGGGGCUUGUAACUAUUCCCCUUGAACGAGGAAUUCCCAGUAAGCGCGAGUCAUAAGCUCGCGUUGAUUACGUCCCUGCCCUUUGUACACACCGCCCGUCGCUACUACCGAUUGAAUGAUUUAGUGAGGUCUUCGGACUGGUGCUCGGAGCGGCCCUCGGGUCGCGCCGGCGUACCGGAAAAGAUGACCAAACUUGAUCAUUUAGAGGAAGUAAAAGUC
rnacentral:rRNA from 1 species